CCGAGCGUCGCACGGUGAGAGUGAAAACCCAAAGCCGCUGAAAUUAGGUUGAAUUGGCUUUAGGGUUUGGACAGGUCCCAUCGACCUUUCUGUUCAUGAAUUCGGUCCGCUCCGUUCGACCCCGAUUUGCAAGUUGGUUUUGGUGAUCCGGUGACACGCUGUGCGGCAAUCCAUCUGCUCGAAGGAAGUUGUUCCAAAAGAAGUAGUCAUGUUUCUCGGAGGUAUACCACGAAGGCCAGACAAGGCUGAGGCCCACAAGACGCUCAAAAAGCAUCUCACUUACCUUGGCCUGUGGAUAUGUGCUAUCCGGGCAACACCCUAUAUCUUUGCGCUCAUCUCAAAGCAAGAUGAGUCGCUUGAGCUCGACUUUGAUUAGAAUUGAUUCCUGAAAAAGGAUGAUACAGCUUUUAAGGGAGGUGUACCUUGUGAACAUAUGAGACCUGCUAAUGCCACGUUGAGAAACAGUGGACAAUGAGGCGGCAGAGGACAUUGUAUUCGUGCUUUUGUGCUUUUCUCACUGUUGUUACUGACAUUACACUGCUAGAUGCUUCUGGCUGAUUGUAACUUAGCUCAUUCAUGCCCUAUGGCCUCUUUCGAUGAAGUCCUUUAGUUUGUACUUUUAGGACUGAACUUUUAAUUCUGAGCAAGUUAACAUUGUUCCUUUAUCUUUA